rnacentral:rRNA from 1 species
AACCCUUACCGUUAGUUACCAUCAGGUUAAGCUGGGGACUCUAGCGGGACUGCCACCGUAAGGUGAGAGGAAGGUGGGGAUGACGUCAAAUCAGCACGGCCCUUACGUCCGGGGCUACACACGUGCUACAAUGGCCGGUACAAAGGGUUGCGAAGCCGUGAGGUGGAGCGAAUCUCAAAAAGCCGGCCUCAGUUCGGAUUGGAGGCUGCAACUCGCCUCCAUGAAGUCGGAAUCGCUAGUAACCGCAGAUCAGCUACGUUGCGGUGAAUACGUUCCCGGGCCUU